GCUAAUACGAUAACAACAGAUGAUGCUAUCAACUGUUUAAAGAUGGUUCUGCUAUCACUCUUGGAUGGACCUGCGGUGCAUUAGCUAGUUGGUAGGGUAACGGCCUACCAAGGCGAUGAUGCAUAGCCGAGUUGAGAGACUGAUNCGGCCACAUUUGGGGACUGAGACACGGCCCAAACUCCUACGGGGAGGCAGCAGGC
rnacentral:rRNA from 1 species